UCUCAAGUGCAAGGAGCGGGUCCUCACCGUGCAGGCAACUGAGGAAUGAAACCCGGGUGGGGGGUGGGAGUGUUGUUGCUUGUUUGGGUUCCCCUGAAAUGUCAAAAGAGACGGGCAGCUGAGCCUCUCCGGUCUAUCGGGUUCGCUAGUCAGCAAGCGUUUGGAGACAAUUAUCCACCCUAAAACGGCUUCUCACGUGCAUCUCUGGGGUUCAACACAAACCAGCAUGCCCUCAUAUACACACUCAGGCCGGGCGGGUUUAGAUCAUUUUAAACUCAGGAAUUCAUGCGAUUUUUAUACUGGAAAAUAAAUAAAACCACCAUCCCAUUGCAAAUUCUCGUCUUAGUCCACAAAAAACUUCGCACGCAAAAAGAAGGGGAUCCUCCCAGCAGUUCAGAAUUCCACCGCAGCCCCGCCCAAGGGAGGGUAAGGAAAAGGGCAGAGGAAAUACGUUCAGCAGCACUGCGCAGGCUCAAAAGGUCGCGCCGCUAAGGCGGGUUGUGGGCGUCAUCAAUCCCGUCGCCGCGGAUCACGUAGGGUUGUACGCAGUUUCCGGAAGUGCUGGACUUGAGCGGAGGCUCCCCGUUUGGUCCGAUCCGCCCAGGAGAGGCCGGCGAGGACCCUGAGCCGUGGGGAUGGAGAUGACCAGGAGCAUGUGCAAAGUGCGCACUCCUCCUGAGCCCACCCACUUCUGAUGCGGGGCGGGGGGAUAAACGCCUCGAUCCCUCGUUGUUAUCCUUCCUCAGGGUGAUGUAGAUCUUCCGUGUUGAGAUCCAGCACAUCUCUAAAUGUCAGUUGCGGUGGGGCGGGGUGGGGAAGAUACCCGAGGGGAGGCAAGGUUGCAGAGGAAAGCGGCCUCUUGCAGCGCAAGUGAAGAGAGGCCUUGUGGAGCCUUCCCUUCUAUCAUAAGACAUGCAACCAUCUAACCGGAUAAUGCAAACGGACGAAGCACCCGUCUAAAAAGUGAGGCUUACGGGAUCUGUCUUUGGCUGCUGGGCAGCUCUCCAGGCCCUCAGGCGAAGUGCUUGCCUGUCACCUGAUUCUUCUGGUCAGAGAGGCCACAACAGAAAUUCUAAAUGCAGUGCUUCUCCAGCCAAUCCAGUUCCUCAGAGUCUUGAAGAAUGCCAAAAGCCACCACCAAGGGAGGCUGUUCUGAGCCCAGUUCUGGCUUUUCAACAACAAAUCAUCCAGCUUGGAUGAAGAAGCAGAAAAACAGUCUGGAGAACAGAAAAGCCAGCAGUGAAGAGCCUUUGGCAGGGCUUUUUUUCUGGGAAAAGAGGUGGUGGAACUCAGUGGAUGUUUGCCUUCUGAAAGUAACUCAGGAAACAUUCAACUGAAAGUGUCGGAUAAAACGAUGGUAUGGCUUGAUGAGUCCGAAACUAGCCUCCAGCUCUGUGUGCCAAGAGGUUUACACUGCUGAUCAAAAGGAAGAGAUGUGACACAGCUGGAGAUACUUUGGAUGGUGACAAUGGCAGACGUUUUUUGCCCUGCAGAAGCCAGUGGGGGGUCUAUUGUGUGUGUGUGGGGGGGGGGUGAUUUUGCGCUCUUCCUGGGGUCUGCCGGGCAGCGAAGCAUCUUCUUGCUGUUGUUGCUGUUGGCUAAUCAAAAACUGGUCCCAGAUGCAAAACUGGCAGCUGCAACAGAGAUUGUGUCUCUUCCUGUUUGGUAAUCAUAAUUGCAUGGGCAAUUAUGUUUCCUUUUUGAAAUACACUUUACAUAAACCACCAGUGUAUGGGCACUCCGGUUGUGAAAGGGAUCUUGUUUGUCCAACAGUUGCCACUUUCACAUUGGAAAUGACUUAUUUGUCCUCGGUGUCCUCGGUGUCAGCUUUUGUUCUGUGGUGACCUCUGUUCUUGUGCAAGUGGUUUUGCCUGCACCCACUUCUUUUAUGGGGGUGGGUCAGGCUAAGCAAUGUGCAUAGCAGCUAAUGAAUUGGGCCAGUGAGGUCUUGUUGGAUAUAAUGAACAGACAAGGAAAGGGGAGAUUCAGGUUGUCCCAGUGAUCUUGGGCAUUCAGCCUCUCAACUUGGCCUCCCUUGCAAGGUUGUUGUUCAGAUAAAAUGAAGCGGGAGUGUUGGAAGAGGAGGAUCCAGCGCUGUCUCUCUCCUCAGGGUUCAGAGGGUGACAAACCAAAUAGAAAGAUAGAGAGGUCAGGGCACCAUGUUUACUGUUCACUAUUGUUUACUGCUCUGACUGUCCUUUAAUAUACAGAUCGCUGUUUUCAGGAUUUCCUCCUCCUGACUUCCUCCCUCUCCCUCCUUCUCUUCCUGGCUUUGUUCCAGGCAAGACCUCUCUCCCUCUCCUCCCUCCAUCUUGGCAGCAUGGGUGCAGGCCUUGCCCUCCUUUCCUGUCAGAGUAUGGAGUUCCUGCAAUAAAGAACUCUUAUUUCUUUUCCAAAUAUAAACCAAGUGUAUGCUUUUAUUAUUUUCAUUCCUGCGCACACACCAGCCAGCAGAAUGAGCUCACAGCCACCUAUAAUCACACUUCCUAUGCCACAUGAUAGACUCUGCUAACGGCCCAAACAUGGAAUCCUUUAAUUAGGUUUCUGAGGCCUACGUAACGAUUUAUUUAUCAGGGAGAACUACCCUGAGGUUCUUAGAAGAAAGGCCAACAAAAAUGUAAUGGAUCAAAGAGGCUGAUGAUGUUUCCGGAGCGACUUCUUGUUCUUGGUGAAUAUUCGACCACUGAGCUCCAGACAGGAGCUCCUUUAGAAGAAGUCCAGGACUGUGGGAUUCGGUGGCAAUCUUGGCUAUGCUGAGUUCACUUAAACCCAGCAACCGCCUUGCUUUUCCAAAAUGUGCCUACAUAAGUCAGCCCCCCCCCCCAUAUCUCUCAUUCAUUUAGGCUGUGGUGCUUGAAUCUUGGCCAAGAAGCAGAGAUCUGUGAUCAUCAACAGGAAGUAGAACCUCACUCCUCAAAUUAGCCCAAAUUAACAAACAGGUCUAAUGAAGUCAGGAGCUGAACCAUGCCUGACUCUUCAGCACAACUCGAGGUUGUGUUUUUCAGGUUUCCGUGGGGUUCCAGUUCCGCCCAGCCUGGAUUUCCAUCUCCCUCGCUCAUCAACUAGUCCAGCUAGUUCAUUACAUCUCUCCAUUCUGAAAACCAGAGAGCGUUUUACAACAAUACAGUCUGGUGCCUGAGAUGCUCUCUGCAUUAUACACGUGUUCAUCACUAGAAUUUAAUGUCUGUAUGAAGCCAUUGGGAGAGGUCCUCAGGAGGUUUGGGCUGCGGUGUCACCGAUAUGCAGAUGCUACCGGGCUCUACCUUUCUUUUACACCCAAUUCUGAGGAUGCCUUUGAUGUUCUGGACCAGCGCGAGGAGUUGGCGAUGGGCUGGAUGAGGGUGAACAAGCUGGAACUGAAUCCUGACAAGACUGAAGUUCUCGGCGUUGGUAGAAAGGCAGGCCAGGGACUUGAGACGUUUCCUGUCUCGGACAGGGUAAUACUCCCCUUGAAAAGUCAGGUUCGCAGCUGUGUUGAGCAGCGCUGCUCAACACAGUCGCUUCAAAAACUAGGUGGCAGCUGUGGCUCAGAGUGCUUUUGCCCAGCUUUAUCUGAUGCACCAGCUGCACCCAUUCCUGGCUCAGUCAGAUCUCGCCACAGUGAUCCAUGCCUUAGUUGCCAUUAGAUUGGACAACUGUAAUGCACUCUAUUUAUGGCUACUCUUGAAGAGGGCUUGGAAGCCCUCAGCUAGUGCAGAACGCUGUGGCGAGACUGCUGGUUGGGGCCAACUAUUAGGGGCACGUGACCCCAAUAUUACAGCAAUUACAGUGCAAUUCAAGGUGUUGGUUUUGACCUUUACAGCCCUACGUGACUUGGGACCUGAGUAUGUGACAGCCCAUCUUCUCCCAUAAUGUUUCUGCCUGAGAACGAAGAUCACAGAGAGAGGCUCUUCUAUCUGUUCCAUCAGAUAAAGAAGCUCACCUGGUGGGUAUACAAGAGAGAGCCUUUUUUGUGGCAGUGCCACGAUUAAGGAACAGCCUCCAAGAUAGGGGUACCUGGCCCCCUCACUGCGCACAUUCAGGGGCCAGCUGAAGACAUUUUUAUUUUGGACUGAUGGCAAUUAAAUUUGGUUCUGUGUUUUAUUGGCAAUCUUAAACUCUUUUUAAACACGUUUUAUGAUUGUUGCUUUAUUUAAAUUGUAAGCCGCCUUGAGUUCCUGCAAAAU